GCGCCAGCCCCGCCUGCCCUUCCUCGCCACCGGGCUGCUCUGGUCUCGUCGGUCCCCUCCUCCGCCCCGUCGUCCUGACUCUCUCUCCCUCCUUUCCUCAGAGGAUGUCCGGCUUCCAGAUCAACCUCAACCCGCUCAAGGAGCCACUCGGCUUCAUCAAGGUCCUCGAGUGGAUUUCAGUUAUCACUUUGAUAAACUAAACCUUGGACAGAAAGAAAUUUAAAUAGAUGAUUUCAGAUUAAUGAUGAAAUUAAAUAGCAAUGAAGAUCCUGCAACUAGAAACGUGUAAACAACACUCAUAAACCAGAUUGCUUCUAUCUUUGCUUUUGCCACCUGUGGAGGUUUUAAGGGCCAAACAGAAAUUCAAGUGAAUUGUCCUCCUGCAGUUACUGAGAAUAAAACUGUUACAGCUACUUUUGGUUAUCCAUUCAGGUUGAAUGAGGCAUCAUUUCAGCCACCUCCAGGUGUAAACAUAUGUGAUGUAAAUUGGAAAGAUUACGUCCUCAUAGGCGAUUACUCUUCUUCUGCACAAUUCUAUGUUACCUUUGCAGUCUUUGUGUUCCUGUACUGCAUUGCUGCCCUUCUGCUUUAUGUUGGCUACACGAGUCUGUAUCUGGAUAGUCGUAAACUUCCUAUGAUAGACUUUGUUGUUACACUUGUUGCCACUUUUUUGUGGUUGGUGAGCACUUCAGCCUGGGCUAAAGCUCUGACAGAUAUUAAAAUAGCUACUGGUCACAAUAUUAUUGAUGAACUUCCGCCUUGUAAGAAGAAAGCAGUACUGUGUUACUUUGGCUCUGUGACCAGUAUGGGAUCCCUAAAUGUAUCUGUGAUAUUUGGCUUUCUAAAUAUGAUACUCUGGGGAGGAAAUGCUUGGUUUGUGUACAAGGAGACCAGCCUACACAGUCCAUCAAAUACAUCUGCCCCUCAUAGCCAAGGAGGUAUUCCACCUCCUACCGGAAUAUAAUUAAAGGGAGAAAUACACUGUAUGAAGUAUAUGUUGAUACUAUGACAUGUUGCCAACACCUUGAGAAGCAUUAUUUGUUUCUAAUAAAAGUAAUGGCUUUGUCAAUAUAUUGGUGGGUUUAAAACUUUGCUGCUUUUUUACAUAAAGCCUGUGCCUUUCCUAGAAAGUUAAGAUGUAAAUGUAUUCUCACAUGUAAAUUUGAAAGUUCAGGGGUCUAUUAUGAAAUGAUACACAUUUUUAAAUGAACCAUAAUUUUUUUCACUAAGCUGUUUGCCUUCCAAAGUGUUUACACCUUAAGCCUUAACAUGUAUCUUCAUUCAGAAAACAGUUAUAUUGUCAUACCAUAGUAGGAAGAAAAACCUUUAUUUGGAAUAUACACUACUGUAAGUUUGUACAGAUCAUAUACCUACCACCUGUCUUUGCUUAAAGAGCCUUGAUUACAUAAAUAUGUAGGAAAAAACAUAUUGAGUUCAAAAUUUAUAUCUAACAUUGUUUAUGUUAUGAUUUUUUUUUAAUUGCAAAGACUAGGUGUAUAUUUUUUUCUGUUUUUCUAAAUGACCCGUGGUACUUAAUAGGUGUACUAAAAUUGUGUUGGGAGCAGGGAUUUGGAAAUUUCUGAGAGAUGUGUAGUUAAUUUAGUAAUUCUGUUUCAUGAGAUAUGAUCUGUUAUGCUAGUGGUUUAAUAGGCUUGCUAUGUAAGUAGAACGUGGCUCAACUAGAUAUCUUUAUAUGUAUGGGCAUUACUCUUAGUGAUAUUUGUUUCCUGUCCUUUGUUGCUCAUGCUGUUUAAGUGCAGGCUGAGACCCAGCCUCUUUGUAAGUACAGUAAAAUAAUCCACCGUUUUUUACAGACCCUAGUCAAAGGGUUAAAAAAAUUAAGAUUGCUUUCCAUGUUUGAAAUUUACCAUUGAGAGUCAAUGAAGUUGCUAUUUUGAGUUUAGCAUUGAUAUUGUGAAAAUAAGUGCAAUUUGGAUUUCAUGUUUCUUAAUAUUCAUUCUUGUUUCACAAAUGAAUGAUUAAGGAAUUAUGCAUCAUAAAGGAACCUAAGUGAGGUAUAUGAUGAGUGUAUUGUCUUUGCACACACAUAUAGGUAUAUUCUGAAUACAAGCUUAUUCACAUUUUGCUUCCUAAUCUUUUUGUUGUACAGGGAUUCAGGUUUCUUAUUCUUACAACAUGAUUGUUUAUAUGUGAAGCACAUCUUGCUGUUGCCUUAUUUUUGAUGCUUUUAUUCAUGACAAGAAUUGUCAAUAUAAGAAUGUAUAUCUUUUUUGCAACCAAUUUAAUAAAGGAGUUGAAAGAAA